GAUGAACGCUGACAGAAUGCUUAACACAUGCAAGUCUACUUGAUUCUACUUCGGUAGUUGAUGGUGGCGGACGGGUGAGUAACGCGUAAAGAAUCUGCCCUUUAGUUUGGGAUAACCUUUGGAAACGAAGGCUAAUACCGGAUAUUAUGGAGACGUCGCAUGACGACUCCAUGAAAGCUAUAUGCGCUAGAGGAGGACUUUGCGUCCCAUUAGUUAGUUGGUGAGGUAAUGGCUCACCAAGACCGCGAUGGGUAGCCGGCCUGAGAGGGUGAUCGGCCACAAGGGAACUGAGACACGGUCCUUACUCCUACGGGAGGCAGCAGUGGGGAAUAUUGGACAAUGGGCCACAAGCCUGAUCCAGCAAUUCUGUGUGCACGAUGAAGGUCUUCGGAUUGUAAAGUGCUUUCAGUAGGGAAGAAAAAAAUGACGGUACCUACAGAAGAAGCGACGGCUAAAUAUGUGCCAGCAGCAGCCGCGG
rnacentral:rRNA from 1 species